rnacentral:lncRNA from 1 species
UACUAAUUUAUUGUUUACAACUCAAGUGGAGCAUUAAUGAGUAGACAUAAUGAAGAGGGCAGUAAGAGAUCACAUUCAAUGCAAUCCAUAUGAGCUUAAAGACAAAUCUAAUUUGGGCUACACUCUCUUGUUAGCCCAUUUUUGUAGGUCACAUUACAACCUUCUUUCAGCAACCUAGACAGCUCGGAUGAGAAGAUAUUCUUGAUAGAAGUUGUUCCAAUGGGUAUCUAUUAUAGCAUAUCCAAAUUUUCACCCUAUUGGAGAUAUUUGGAGUCCUCAGCACGUCAAAUAUCCAACCAAGUUCACAGAACGUCUUGGUUGGCUUCUAU